rnacentral:rRNA from 1 species
AUUGAACGCUGGCGGCAUGCUUUACACAUGCAAGUCGAACGGCAGCGCGGGCUUCGGCCUGGCGGCGAGUGGCGAACGGGUGAGUAAUGCAUCGGAACGUGCCCAGUAGUGGGGGAUAGCCCGGCGAAAGCCGGAUUAAUACCGCAUACGACCUGAGGGUGAAAGCGGGGGACCGAAAGGCCUCGCGCUAUUGGAGCGGCCGAUGUCGGAUUAGCUAGUUGGUGGGGUAAAGGCAUACCAAGGCGACGAUCCGUAGCUGGUCUGAGAGGACGACCAGCCACACUGGGACUGAGACACGGCCCAGACUCCUACGGGAGGCAGCAGUGGGGAAUUUUGGACAAUGGGGGCAACCCUGAUCCAGCCAUGCCGCGUGCGGGAAGAAGGCCUUCGGGUUGUAAACCGCUUUUGUUCGGGAAGAAAUCCUCUGGGCUAAUACCCCGGGGGGAUGACGGUACCGGAAGAAUAAGCACCGGCUAACUACGUG